rnacentral:rRNA from 1 species
UACGGAGGGUGCAAGCGUUGUCCGGAUUUAUUGGGUUUAAAGGGCGCGUAGGCGGCCCGGUAAGUCAGUGGUGAAAGCCUCCAGCUCAACUGGAGAACUGCCAUUGAUACUGCCGGGCUUGAGUACAGACGAGGUUGGCGGAAUUGAUUGUGUAGCGGUGAAAUGCAUAGAUACAAUCAAGAACUCCGAUUGCGUAGGCAGCUAACUAGGCUGUAACUGACGCUGAGGCACGAAAGCGUGGGGAGCGAACAGG